GGAUUCCAGAAAACUGCUACGAUUGUCUGAAUGUGUGUCCCUCACAUAGGAUUCCAGAACACUGCUACGAGGGUCUGCAUAUUUGUCCUUAAAGUAGGAUUGCAGAACACUGUUAUAAUUGUCGGAAAGUUUGUCCCUCACAUAGGAUUCCAGAACACUUCUACGAGGGUCUGAAUGUUUGUCCCUCACAUAGGAUUGCAAAACACUGAAGCUGUGUUCCGAGUGUUUGUCCCUCAUAUAGGGACCCAGAAAAAUGCUGCUGGGUUCUGAGUGUUUGUCCCUCACACAGGAUUCCAGAACACUGCUACUAGUGUCUGAAUGUUUGUCCCUCACAUAACACUCCAGAACACUGCUGCUGGGGUCUCAAUGUUUGUCAGUCACACAGGAUUCCAGAACACUGCUACGAUAGCCUGA
rnacentral:lncRNA from 1 species